GAGGAACCGAAGGUUAGUAAGGUUGGGAAUUUCAGAAUAAGAGCUACAUCGAUGGCGACAUCAUCGCCAGCGCAAGGCUUGCAGUUUGGGGAGGGUAAAGCUAACAAGUUGGACAAAUUGCGUAUUGGUGUGCUUGGAGCUAGUGGUUACACUGGUACUGAGAUCAUCAGACUCCUGGCAAAUCAUCCACAUUUUCAGAUUACUUUGAUGACCGCUGACAGGAAAGCUGGCCAAUCAAUAUAAUCGGUUUUUUCUCACCUAGUCACACAAGAUCUUCCGAGUCUGGUUGAUGUUAAGGAUGCAGAUUUCUCUGCUGUGGAAGCUGUUUCUUGUUGUUUGCCACAUGGUACAACUCAG